rnacentral:rRNA from 1 species
UACGUAGGGUGCGAGCGUUAAUCGGAAUUACUGGGCGUAAAGCGUGCGCAGGCGGUUUUGUAAGCCAGAUGUGAAAUCCCCGGGCUUAACCUGGGAACUGCAUUUGUGACUGCAAAGCUGGAGUGCGGCAGAGGGGGAUGGAAUUCCGCGUGUAGCAGUGAAAUGCGUAGAUAUGCGGAGGAACACCGAUGGCGAAGGCAAUCCCCUGGGCCUGCACUGACGCUCAUGCACGAAAGCGCGGGGAGCAAACAGG